rnacentral:rRNA from 1 species
UGCAGUCGACGGCAGCACGGGUAGCAAUCCUGGGUGGCGAGUGGCGAACGGGUGAGUAAUAUAUCGGAACGUGCCCAGNUCGUGGGGGAUAACGCAGCGAAAGCUGUGCUAAUACCGCAUACGAUCUACGGAUGAAAGCGGGGGAUCGCAAGACCUCGCGCGAUUGGAGCGGCCGAUAUCAGAUUAGCUAGUUGGUGGGGUAAAGGCCCACCAAGGCGACGAUCUGUAGCUGGUCUGAGAGGACGACCAGCCACACUGGAACUGAGACACGGUCCAGACUCCUACGGGAGGCAGCAGUGGGGAAUUUUGGACAAUGGGCGCAAGCCUGAUCCAGCAAUGCCGCGUGCAGGAUGAAGGCCUUCGGGUUGUAAACUGCUUUUGUACGGAACGAAACGGUCGCCUCUAAUAAAGGUGGCUAAUGACGGUACCGUAAGAAUAAGCACCGGCUAACUACGUGCCAGCAGCCGCGGUAAUACGUAGGGUGCGAGCGUUAAUCGGAAUUACUGGGCGUAAAGCGUGCGCAGGCGGUUAUAUAAGACAGAUGUGAAAUCCCCGGGCUCAACCUGGGACCUGCAUUUGUGACUGUAUAGCUAGAGUACGGUAGAGGGGGAUGGAAUUCCGCGUGUAGCAGUGAAAUGCGUAGAUAUGCGGAGGAACACCGAUGGCGAAGGCAAUCCCCUGGACCUGUACUGACGCUCAUGCACGAAAGCGUGGGGAGCAAACAGGAUUANAUACCCUGGUAGUCCACGCCCUAAACGAUGUCAACUGGUUGUUGGGUCUUCNCUGACUCAGUANCGAAGCUAACGCGUGAANUUGACCGCCUGGGGANUACGGCCGCANGUUGAAACUCAANGA